GUUCCUAUAGUUGAAGUUCAACAACGGUGGUUUUUCAGGCCAUUGGUCUUGGAGAGAGGCCAAGUAGGAAUU
rnacentral:tRNA from 1 species